rnacentral:rRNA from 1 species
UCGGGAAUUUUGGGCAAUGGGCGAAAGCCUGACCCAGCAACGCCGCGUGAAGGAUGAAGUAUUUCGGUAUGUAAACUUCGAAAGAAUAGGAAGAAUAAAUGACGGUACUAUUUAUAAGGUCCGGCUAACUACGUGCCAGCAGCCGCGGUAAUACGUAGGGACCAAGCGUUGUUCGGAUUUAUUGGGCGUAAAGCGUGUGUAGGCGGCUCUGUGCGUCUCGUGUUAAAGACCACCGCUCAACGGUGGAAAUGCGCGGGAUACGGCAGGGCUUGAGGAGGUUAGAGGUGCUUGGAACUCACGGUGUAGGGGUGACAUCCGUUGAUAUCGUGGGGAACACCAAAGGCGAAGGCAGAGCACUGGGACCUUUCUGACGCUGAGACACGAAAGCGUGGGGAGCAAAAAGGAUUAGAUACCCGAGUAGUCCCUGAGCGGGCUGGCAAGGCGCAU